AUUGAACGCUGGCGGCAGGCCUAACACAUGCAAGUCGAACGAGUGGCGGACGGGUGAGUAAUGUCUGGGAAGCUGCAUGAUGGAGGGGGAUCACUAAUGGAAAAAGUAGCUAAUAACGACUACCAUUAAAUGUGCCGAGAUGGGGUUAUCUAGUUGGUGGGGUAACGGCUAACACAGGCGACGAUCCGUAGCUGGUCUGAGAGGAUGACCAGCCACACGUGAACUGAGACACGGUCCAGACUCCUACGGGAGGCAGUAGGGGGGAAUAUUGCACAAUGGGCGCAAGCCUGAUGCAGCCAUGCCGCGUGUAUGAAGAAGGCCUUCGGGUUGUAAAGUACUUUCAUCGUGGAGGCGUUACCCGCAGAAGAAGCACCGGCUAACUCCGUGCCAGCAGCCGCGGUAAUUC
rnacentral:rRNA from 1 species